GCUGGGCAUGGUGGUGCAUGCCUGUAAUCUCAGCAGCUCAAGAGGCUGGGGAGGAGGAUUGCCAAGUUCAAGGCCAGUCUUGGCAAUUUAUCGAGGCUCUAAACAACUUGAUAAGACUCAAGUCUCAAAAAAUAAAAAGGGCUGGGGAUGCUGCUCAGUGGUAGAGCGUCCCUGGGUUAAAUCCCAGGUACUGAAAGGAAAGCCCUUUUCUUUU
rnacentral:sRNA from 1 species